UCGAAAUUUUGAUUUUACUAUCCCACCUUUCAAUUUAUUCGAUUCGAAUUAGUCAACUACAUUUCGACUUCAAAUUUGAAUGCAUUUUCGCAACUAUAAAUUCAUUAAAAUAGAUAAUAAUUAGCUUAAAUUUUAUUCCUGAAUUUGGAGCAAUUAUUUAUAUAUUUUGGAAAAGUUUUCGAUUUUCUUAUUUACCUCUCUCUCUUAGAAGUCUAAUAUUAAAAAUAUAUUUUUGACGUUUCAAAUUAUUUUAAAUAUUUUCCCAGAGUUAAAUUCGGUUAGUGAACGGUUAGCUAGGAACAACAGUUAUUUUUAUAAAAUUACUAUUUUAUCAUUUCAAAUAUACUCUUCUAUCAUCACCGAUUUUUCUUAUUUCCUCUUAAGUUAGAGGCAAAAGAGGUAUUUGGACUUCCUUUUAGGUCUGUUAGAAAUUUAAUCCGGGUUUAAUCCGAGAAGACUUAAUGGAUAUUAAUAGCAGAGUUAUUUUUAAAUAACAGAGCAUUUCAGAAGUUUUGAGGGGUAUAUUAGAUAUUAUCUCUAAAUUUUGAAGUUAAAGUAUUGUUGACUGAUUCAAAUUAAAAUUUUAAAACCUUAAGUAGCUGAUUCAAAAUGGUUUAUAGUUUAGAUAAGUUAUGUACAUUCGUUCUGUUGUGCUUUAGACUCCGUCUCAGGUGAAGAUCGAUCGUGUAACAUUUCGCAACAUCAGAGGUACGUCUGCGUCGCCGGAGGCGAUNGUCGGCCUCACCGUCAGGAACUGCACUCUCACCGGCACGACGAACGGGCUCAGAAUAAAGACAUGGCAGUCGGCGCCGUCGCCGUCGUCGGCCUCCGACUUCCAUUUCGAAGACAUUGUCAUGAACAAUGUGUACAACCCCAUCAUCAUAGACCAAAAAUACUGCCCAUUUUCUACUUGUUCCCAAACAGUAACAUCCUACUCUACACCUCUUGUUUUUCGCCUUCUCUUAUCUGCGAUUUCAACAGCAACUGAUCUUUCGAAAUUUUGAUUUUACUGUCCACCCUUUCAAUUUAUUCAAUUUGAAUCAGUCAACUACACAAAUUUGAAUGCAUUUUUUUACUUUAAGUACUCUUUGCAACUAUAAAUUCAUUAACAUAAAUAAUAAUUAGCUUAAAUUUUAUUCCUGAAGUUGGGACAAUUACUUAUAUACCUCUGAAAUGUUUUCGACCUUCUUAUUUAUCUCUCAUAGAAGUUUAAUAUUAAAACUAUAUUUUUGACAUUUCAAAUUAUUUUAAAUAUUUUUUCAGNUCCGGGUUUAAUCCGAGAAGACUUAAUGGAUAUUAAUAGCAGAGUUAUUUUUAAAUAACAGAGCAUUUCAGAAGUUUUGAGGGGUAUAUUAGAUAUUAUCUCUAAAUUUUGAAGUUAAAGUAUUGUUGACUGAUUCAAAUCAAAAUUUUGAAACAUUAGGUAGCUGAUUCAAAAUGGUUUAUAGUUUAGAUAAGUUAUGUACGUUCGUUCUGUUCUACUUUAGGCUCCGUCU
rnacentral:lncRNA from 1 species